rnacentral:rRNA from 1 species
UACAGAGGGUGCGAGCGUUAAUCGGAGUUACUGGGCGUAAAGGGCGCGUAGGCGGUCUUGUAAGAUUGAUGUGAAAUCCCUGGGCUUAACCUAGGAACUGCAUUGAUUACUGUAAGACUAGAGUACUGUAGAGGGUAGUGGAAUUUCCGGUGUAGCGGUGAAAUGCGUAGAGAUCGGAAGGAACACCAGUGGCGAAGGCGGCUACCUGGACAGAUACUGACGCUGAGGCGCGAGAGCGUGGGGAGCAAACAGG